rnacentral:rRNA from 1 species
AGUGAACGCUGGCGGUAGGCCUAACACAUGCAAGUCGAACGGCAGCACAGUAAGAGCUUGCUCUUACGGGUGGCGAGUGGCGGACGGGUGAGGAAUACAUCGGAAUCUACUUUUUCGUGGGGGAUAACGUAGGGAAACUUACGCUAAUACCGCAUACGACCUACGGGUGAAAGCAGGGGAUCUUCGGACCUUGCGCGAUUGAAUGAGCCGAUGUCGGAUUAGCUAGUUGGCGGGGUAAAGGCCCACCAAGGCGACGAUCCGUAGCUGGUCUGAGAGGAUGAUCAGCACACUGGGAAGUAGAAACCGUUCCAAACCCCAAGGGGAGCAGGAGGGGGGGAAUAUGGGAAAAGGGGCCAAAGCCUGACCCAGCCAACCCGGGGGGGGGAAGAAGGCCUGGGGGUUGUAAAGCCCUUUUGUUGGGAAAAAAAAGCAGCAGGUUAAUACCCCGCGGUUCUGACGGUCCCAAAAAAAAAAGCACCGGCUAACUUCGU